CAGUCGCCGCGGUAAUACAGAGGGUGCGAGCGUUAAUCGGAUUUACUGGGCGUAAAGCGUGCGUAGGCGGCUAAUUGAGUCGGAUGUGAAAUCCCCGAGCUUAACUCGGGAAUUGCAUUCGAUACUGGUUAGCUAGAGUGUGGGAGAGGAUGGUAGAAUUCCAGGUGUAGCGGUGAAAUGCGUAGAGAUCUGGAGGAAUACCGAUGGCGAAGGCAGCCAUCUGGCCUAACACUGACGCUGAGGUACGAAAGCAUGGGGAGCAAACAGGAUUAGAUACCCCAGUAGUCCCUGUCUCUUAUAC
rnacentral:rRNA from 1 species